rnacentral:rRNA from 1 species
AUUGAACGCUGGCGGAAUGCUUUACACAUGCAAGUCGAACGGCAGCACGGGGGCAGCCCUGGUGGCGAGUGGCGAACGGGUGAGUAAUACAUCGGAACGUGCCCGGUCGUGGGGGAUAACGUAGCGAAAGUUACGCUAAUACCGCAUACGAUCUGAGGAUGAAAGCGGGGGACCUUCGGGCCUCGCGCGAUCGGAGCGGCCGAUGUCAGAUUAGGUAGUUGGUGGGGUAAAGGCCUACCAAGCCGACGAUCUGUAGCUGGUCUGAGAGGACGACCAGCCACACUGGGACUGAGACACGGCCCAGACUCCUACGGGAGGCAGCAGUGGGGAAUUUUGGACAAUGGGCGCAAGCCUGAUCCAGCCAUUCCGCGUGCAGGACGAAGGCCUUCGGGUUGUAAACUGCUUUUGUACAGAACGAAAAGGCUCUGGCUAAUACCUGGGGCUCAUGACGGUACCGUAAGAAUAAGCACCGGCUAACUACGUG